UACGUAGGGUGCGAGCGUUAAUCGGAAUUACUGGGCGUAAAGCGUGCGCAGGCGGCUUUGCAAGACAUAGGUGAAAUCCCCGGGCUCAACCUGGGAACUGCCUUUGUGACUGCAAGGCUAGAGUACGGCAGAGGGGGAUGGAAUUCCGCGUGUAGCAGUGAAAUGCGUAGAUAUGCGGAGGAACACCGAUGGCGAAGGCAAUCCCCUGGGCCUGUACUGACGCUCAUGCACGAAAGCGUGGGGAGCAAACAGGAUUAGA
rnacentral:rRNA from 1 species